UUAUGCUUUAUUCAACACUUAAUGUGCCAGCUCCAUCACGAGUGCUGCUAUCAAGGAUUGUUUUUUCAGCACCUAGUCUUGCAGCAAUAAAAACAAUUGUCUCACUGACAAUUCUUUCAAGAGAUGCAGAUGGGCAGAUGUUAGCUUUGUCAGAUUUAUUUGCCACGCUCUACUUGAUGAUUUUUCAUUACUCUACAUCUAUGUUAAUUUGACAAUGCUACCUAUCAACUGCUGUUUAAAAGAGAGUUAUUUUUCGUGGUCAGAGCCACUAUGGUUCAUUGUCUUUUUACUUAUUGAGUGUUCUGAUGCCCCAUGCUAUAUUUAGCUGAAGGGGAUGUUCAGAUAGCUGGAAAGCUACUAAUGAUUGCUGAUUUGAUCAAGCUGCCAACUGAAUGAGGGUGGUGUUAAUCAAAUUCAAGGGAGUAUCUGUACUUGAAGAAAGACUAUCUGUACUUAAUAUAACAUGAUUUCAUGACGAGUAUUUAAUUUUUUGUAUGCGAUA